UACGUAGGGUGCAAGCGUUGUCCGGAAUUAUUGGGCGUAAAGCGCGCGCAGGCGGGUCAACAAGUCAUGCGUGAAAGCUCCCGGCUAAACUGGGAGAGGUCGGAUGAAACUGUUGGUCUUGAGUGUGGCAGAGGCGUGUGGAAUUCCGCGUGUAGUGGUGAAAUGCGUAGAGAUGCGGAGGAACACCAGAGGCGAAGGCGGCACGCUGGGCCACAACUGACGCUGAGGCGCGAAAGCAUGGGUAGCGAACGGGAUUAGAAACCCCAGUAGUCC
rnacentral:rRNA from 1 species